GCUUAUCAGCAGCAUCAAAACAUCUCAAAAAAUGCCAACCUGUCACAACAGCUUUUCCAAGAAGUUACUCAUUUGGCUAUCUGCUGGGAAGUCAAAAAGCAUUGCCAAGUCAAGAUAGGUUCUUGCUACGUGGAUCUCUGUGCGGAGGGACAAGUUCUGCAGCUCUCUUGACAUGGCCUCAGAGCACCAGGAUAAAAGUGAAAACAUUCAUCUGUGGUUCCUUCAGGACACAAAUACAAGGUGUUAUCAGGACGAAUCAUGGUGCUUUCUGCAAGCAGACAACUAAGGAAGCCUACAUGCCUCUUUCAGGCUAAGUAUUCCUUGCUUUUUUUUUUCUUUUUUUUUUUCUUUUCCUUUUCUGAUGCUGUCCCUAAUGUGAAUGUGGGUAUGUUGGAUGCUUUCCUAUAGGAGCAGUAUUUUCCUUUUCCUGUUUGGGAAUAAACCAGAACAACUUAAGUCUGUAAACUGGCAAAACUGCAUUCAUGUGAAUGGAGCUACAGCACUUACAGGAUUGCAGUGCAGCUGUUGUCUUGCUUCCAGAUUUCUUAGGCUGCUGAAAAUGGAUGCUCUGAACUUUCAGAGACUGACAAGGUGCUGUAAUCAUACAAUCUUAAUUCUCCUUGGUUGUGUGAUACAAUGUGCAGUAAUGUUAAAACUAGUCUAAUAAUCUAAGCUGUUAUUCAGUAUUUAAAUACAUGAAACAGAGAGAACACAGCUAAGAUCAUGCCACUAACCUUGCCUCUUUUCCCUUAUUUCUUUUUUGACAUGUAAAUGGACACAGAAAUAUUUGAAAACUUAGGCAGAAACAUACUUACUUUCACAUUUGCAGACAUGAAAAGGUUUCAGCUCAUAAGUUUCCAUAGGUUUAUUUUGAAAUCUUUAUUCCUUACAAUAAGCACCAAUUAGAAAUUGAAUGUGAAGAAUAGAUAAGAUUAUAUUUUCCACAUAGAUAUUAUGAUAAUAUUAUGAUUAAUAUGAAAAGUAUGUGUGAUAGAAAAGGAUUACAGACCAAUAGCACCACUUCCCCUGUAAUCUUUAUCCCUUUCCUGACUAAGUGCUAUCUGCCAAUACAAAUCCCCAAGUUCCUGACCUCUCUUCUUUUUUUUUUUUCUUGCUUUCCGUCCCUGCAAGCGCUGUGGAGGAAAUGAUUCCUGUCACGUAGCCAAAGGGGGCAUAUUUACAUGGUUCCACAUGAUGUGACAAGGAAAUCCUGUUGCAGAGGAUUCGGGAGGAAAGCAAGGAGGUUGCCUUCUCUGUCACUCUUUUUUAGAGCUCCUGCCUCCGCUCCUCAACAGGUUAACUUCCUGAAUCACCACUUCUGGGACAUUAUCAGAACAGAUCUCUUUGUUUCUUAAUUUUCUUCCUUCAGUUUUGAAAGUGGACAUUUCCAGGACAUUCUCCUUCCUGCUCUUUUGCCAUUUAUUAAGUGAUUAUGUUGUUGUCUGCUAUGGAUUUUUUUCUUUGCAGAUUUUACUUGUAGUACUCAUAUUUUCUUGCUCCUCCACUGGUUGUCAUUAAACUCUGCACCAAAGUAAG
rnacentral:lncRNA from 1 species